UGACAGUAAAAGGGGGAUUAUUCAAAUGAAUAUAGCAAAAAAAUCUGUCCAGAUUAGAAUUUACUGAAUAAUAUGCUUUUAUAAUUUAAAAAUUGCUUAUUUUUCUAAAAAUAUUGAAGUUAAUAAAGUGUCAUUAGUAAGUAAAAUUGAAAAAUAUAAAAAAUAUAUAAAGUAAGUAGUAUAAAGGUUGACUAAUUUUGUGCCAGCAGUUGCGGUUAUACAAAAAACUUAAAAAUUUUAUAUAAUUAAUAAUUAGUUUAUAUUUAGAUUUUUUUAAAUAUAAGGUGAAAUUUUAUUUAAAAUUAUUUUUGUUGAAAUUAUUGAAAGUUUUAUAAAUAAACCAGGAUUAGAUACCCUGUUAUAAAAAUAGAAAAACAUUGAGAAUAGUAUUUGAUGACCAUGAAAUUUAAAUAUAUUGGCGGUACUUUACCUAAUUAGAGGAACUUGUCCUAUAAUUGAUAAUCCACAUUAAAUCUUACUUAAUUAAAAUAUUUGUAUACCGCCGUUGAUAGAUAAACCUUUAUGGGAUUAUCAAAAAAUAAUUUUUUACAUCAGGUCAAGGUUCAGUUUAUAAUCAAGUUUGAGAUGAGUUACAAUAAAAUUUAUUUAAAUGAAUAUCGUUAUGAAAUAAUAAAUUGAAAGUGGAUUUAACAGUAAUUUUGAAAAUAGUAAUUUAUUUUGAAAUAGAAAUAAAGUAUGUACAUAUCGCCCGUCGCUCUUGUUUUAAAACUGGAAAAGUCGUAACAGAGUAGGAGCACCGGAAGGUGCUCCUGG
rnacentral:ncRNA from 1 species